AUUUCCAGUCAGAAGUGUUUUCUCAGAACCACACAUUGCCGGGACUAGACGCCACUACAGUACAUUCCAUCGACGAAAAACCAUCGUAUGCGUCUAUAAAACUGAGCUAGCUCUGCUCUACAUUGGCCACUAGAACAGGAGCAGUAUGUACGCGAUAGCCGUGCUUAUGAGAGUGCUAGUGCUUGUGGCUGCGCUGCUCCUCGUCAUGGACGCCGUCGCCGUGGAAGGCCGGAAGAUGCUCGGAGGCCGCGGUGACGGUUCGGCGCCAGGCUCGCCGGCCGGAAACCCCCCCGGAAAUCAUCGUUCGUGAUCCACUAGAUCAUUUAGAUGGCAAGUCCUCGAUCCAGAAGCGAGAAGAAGCUGUAUUCUUCAGGUAGUCUACCCGUGCACCGGUUUGCUCCGUUCAUGAUCAUCACUGCAGCGUAUGGAGGACCGCAACCUCUUUACGGAGGCUUGUACUCGGUUGAAAGACACGGUGAAGGAUUUUAUUUCUAUACAUGAGUGGCGGCAUAGUCUCAAGAUUGCUCCACCGUUACCUUAGUAUUCCAGGUUACGUCCUGCGUUCUUCCUUUUGAUUUGUCAAACUUGAAUUUGUUUGCUUUUUGUGUU